GAGGGUAUAGCUCAAGUGCUAGAGUGCAUGCUUAGCAUGCAUGAGGUCUUGUGUUCAAUCCCCAGUACCUCCU
rnacentral:tRNA from 1 species